GUGAAUCAUCAAAUUUUUGAACGCAAAUUGCACUUUCUGGUAUUCCUGAAAGUAUUCCUGUUUGAGGGUCAAUUAAAUAGAAAUAGUUGUUGUUGCUGCCUUUCGUGGUGACGCGUCGGAAUUGGGUCGUCUUACCUUCGGUUAAGUGACUUAAAAUUUUUUCAUGGUUUUCGAAAGUAUUUAAAUGGCUUACGUACUUUUGAGAUUUCAAAGUCUUAUUAUGUUUGAUAA
rnacentral:misc_RNA from 1 species